rnacentral:rRNA from 1 species
UACGUAGGGUGCGAGCGUUGUCCGGAAUUAUUGGGCGUAAAGGGCUCGUAGGCGGUCUGUUGCGUCGGGAGUGAAAACUCAGGGCUUAACUCUGAGCCUGCUUCCGAUACGGGCAGACUAGAGGUAUGCAGGGGAGAACGGAAUUCCUGGUGUAGCGGUGAAAUGCGCAGAUAUCAGGAGGAACACCGGUGGCGAAGGCGGUUCUCUGGGCAUUACCUGACGCUGAGGAGCGAAAGUGUGGGGAGCGAACAGG